GACAGAGGUGCCAAGCGUUAGGCGGAAUCACUGGGCUUAAAGCGUGUGUAGGCGGGCGAUCAAGUACCUUGUGAAAUCCCCCGGCUCAACCGGGGAACGGGCGCGGAUACGACUCUCCUCGAGGGGCGUAGGGGGACCUGGAACUUCCGGUGGAGCGGUGAAAUGCGUUGAGAUCGGAAGGAACGCCCGUGGCGAAAGCGAGGUCCUGGACGCCUACUGACGCUGAGACGCGAAAGCCAGGGGAGCGAACGGG
rnacentral:rRNA from 1 species